AGCGAACGCUGGCGGCAGGCUUAACACAUGCAAGUCGAGCGGGCAUCUUCGGAUGUCAGCGGCAGACGGGUGGGUAACACGUGGGAACGUACCCUUCGGUUCGGAACAACUCUGGGAAACUGGAGCUAAUACCGGAUACGCCCUUAUGGGGAAAGGUUUACUGCCGAAGGAUCGGCCCGCGUCUGAUUAGCUUGUUGGUAGGGUAACGGCCUACCAAGGCGACGAUCAGUAGCUGGUCUGAGAGGAUGAUCAGCCACACUGGGACUGAGACACGGCCCAGAAUCCUACGGGAGGCAGCAGUGGGGGAUAUUGGACAAUGGGGGCAAGCAUGAUCCAGCCAUGCCGCGUGAGUGAUGAAGGCCUUAGGGUUGUAAAGCUCUUUUGUCCGGGACGAUAAUGACGGUACCGGAAGAAUAAGCCCCGGCUAACUUCGUG
rnacentral:rRNA from 1 species